UACGGAGGGUGCGAGCGUUGUUCGGAAUUAUUGGGCGUAAAGCGCGUGUAGGCGGUUUUUUAAGUCUGAUGUGAAAGCCCCGGGCUCAACCUGGGAAGUGCAUUGGAAACUGGAAGACUUGAAUACGGGAGAGGGCAGUGGAAUUCCUGGUGUAGGAGUGAAAUCCGUAGAUAUCAGGAGGAACACCGGUGGCGAAGGCGGCUGCCUGGACCGAUAUUGACGCUGAGACGCGAAAGCGUGGGGAGCAAACAGG
rnacentral:rRNA from 1 species